GCCAUUUUAGAUGCUCGCCCACUCUCUCGCAAGCCAUGGAAGGAAAAGGUCGCGCUUCAGCAUCGCUCCCUUAUUUCGCCUUAAAACUCCUUAAAUAUCCAACUUAAAGAUGUGGUCCUGGAGAUCCACGUGGCUAAAUAAUUCCUAAAUAAGUGGAAGGAGAGGAGGAACAGGGUGACAGGGAGGCUGGGGGAGCAGGUGGCAGGGAGGCUGGGAGGAACAGGGUGACAGAGAGGCUGGGAGAACAUGACAGGGAGGCUGAGAAGAACAGGGUGACAGGGAGGCUGAGAAGAGCAGGGUGACAGGGAGGCUGAGAGGAACAGGGUGACAGAGGCUGGGAGAACAUGACAGGGAGGCUGAGAAGAACAGGGUGACAGGGAGGCUGAGAGGAACAGGGUGACAAGAGAGGCUGGGAGGAACAGGGUGACAAGAGAGGCUGGGAGAACAUGACAGAGGAGUCUUAAGAGGAACAGGGUGACAAAGAGGCUGGGAGAACAUGACAGGGAGGCUGAGAAGAACAGGGUGACAGGGAGGCUGAGAAGAACAGGGUGACAGGGAGGCUGAGAAGAACAGGGUGACAGAGGCUGGGAGGAACAGGGUGACAGUGAAGGAGCACCUCAUUGGACGACAGACAGGGAUGGGGAGAUGAAGGGGAAGGAAGAGGAGGACAAGGAAGAAUAUGAAAGGAGGAAGAGAAGAGAGAGAGGAGUGGUUUAGAAGAAGAGGAAGAAGACGAGGAGGAGGAGGAUAAGGAAGAAUGUGAAAGAAGAGGAAGAGAGGAGUGUGUUUGGAAGAAGAGGAGGACAAGGAAGAAUAUGAAAGAGGAGGAAGAGAAGAGAGAGAGGAGUGAUUUGGAAGAAGAGGAAGACGAGGAGGAGGAGGAUAAGGAAGAAUGUGAAAGAAGAGGAAGAGAGGAGUGUGUUUGGAAGAAGAGGAAGAAGACAAGGAGGAGAGGAAGAGGAAGAAGAUGAGGAGGAGGAGCAAAAUUGAACUGAUUGACUCAGCAAUGGAAGGAAGAGAGAAAAUAGAGUUAUUUCACUUUUAAAAGACUGCUGAAGAAAAUAUGAACCUCGUUAACCUGGCCGCCAUUUACAAGUGAAUUAUGUGCUGUACAGUUUGUGUGUCAGAAAGAGGAGAGGACACACAGAGGAAGGCCAUAAGGAAGAGGAGGAGGAGGAAGAGGAAGAAGAGUUACUGGUGUGUCUGUCUGUCUGUCUGUCUGUCUGAAGAGGAGGAGGAGGAGGAUGAAGAGGUGAAGGAAAUGAAGGAAGAAGAGAAAAGGAAGAAACACAAAAGGAGGAGGAAGAAGAAGAGAAGAGGGGAAGGAGGAGGAGGAGGAGGAGGGACACGAGGAACAAGAGGAGGAGGGACAUGAGAAAGAAGAGGAGGAGGAGGAGGGACACAAGGAAGAAGAGGAAGAGGAGGAGGAGGAGGGACACAAGGAAGAAGAGAGGAAGGAGGAAGAGGAAGACCCAAAUUUAGUCUAUUUUAUUUAUUUAAUGUGUCUGUCUGUCUGUUUGUCAUCGAAAAUAAAUAAAACUAUCAUUAUU